CUCGGGUGAGGCGGCUCCCCGGAGCCACCGGCUCCCUUCCUGGAAGAAUGACCACGUGUGUGCCCUGGUGGGGUGACACUGGUGACAUGUGCGUGGCCUGGUGACCGUGUGGUGGCAUUCCUGUUGGGUGCCACCCUGGGAGUGCUGCAGUUUUACACUCAUGAGGGCAAAGAGUUUGCUUUGGGGUGAGGGGUGCCCUGAGGAGCAGCUCAAGGCCACUCUCUGGUGUUUAUCCCAAGGUGUGAGGAUGUCCCCAUCGUGCUCCUCAUGGCCACAUGUCCCCGAGUCCUGACCAUGACACCACCUCCCUCCUCUGCUUUCCUUGCCUGAAGAGCUGGCUGUCAGCCAGAGGAAUGGGCUGCAAACCCCCAAAAUUUGUCUUGAGAAGCCAUCAUCAACCAGCCCGUCUCACCCUGACAUCCUGAAGACCACAGGCUGCUUAACAUUUGAUGCAUUUUGGCACCCUGACUGGUUUGUGGCCAUUUUUUUGUGUGUUAUUUAAGAUGUGUUUUGGCAAUGUGACUAUUUUGUGGCUGGUUUUCUGUGUCUUUUUUGAACUUGGUUAUGAAAAUGUCUGUGAUCUAUUACCAGCCAAGGCCAGAGACAGACCAAUAGCAUGAUUUAUUGUCUCCUAGAACUAGAAAACAGCUUCUGUCUCUGUACAGGCUUAUCUCCCAUCCAGUAUCUUAAAUUCUUCCAUCUAAUAACAAUUAAAUAGAUCUUUGAGAGCAUCUUUUAUCUUAAAACUUGUGGGGUUUAAGCCCUGGAGAAUAAUUUAAUGCUUAAAGUAAAAACUGC